ACCCCUACGGGAGGCAGCAGUGGGGAAUCUUAGACAAUGGGCGCAAGCCUGAUCUAGCGAUGCCGCGUGAGUGACGAAGGUCUUAGGAUCGUAAAGCUCCUUCGCCUGUGAUGAUAAUGACAGCAGCAGGUAAAGAAACCCCGGCUAACUCCGUGCCAGCAGCCGCGGUAA
rnacentral:rRNA from 1 species